AUUGAACGCUGGCGGCAUGCCCUACACAUGCAAGUCGAACGGUAACGCGGGGCAACCUGGCGACGAGUGGCGAACGGGUGAGUAAUAUAUCGGAACGUGCCCAGUCGUGGGGGAUAACGUAGAGAAAUUUACGCUAAUACCGCAUACGAUCUAUGGAUGAAAGCGGGGGAUCGCAAGACCUCCCGCGAUUGGAGCGGCUGAUAUCAGCUGAGGUUGUUGGUGGGGUAAAAGCCCACCAAGCCGACGAUCUGUAGCUGGUAUGAGAGAACGACCAUCCACACUUGGACAGUGUCGCGGCCCAGACUCCUACGGGAGGCAGCAGUGGGGAAUUUUGGACAAUGGGCGCAAACCUGAUCCAGAAAUUCCGCGUGCAGGAAGAAGGCCUUCGGGUUGUAAACUACUUUUGUACGGAACUAAACAGCUCUUUCUAAGAAAUAGAGCUAAUGACGGUACCGUAAGAAUAAGCACCGGCUAACUACGUGCCAGCCGCCGCCGUAA
rnacentral:rRNA from 1 species